UCUCAGCCGGCCCAGGACACCCAGCCACUGCUCCUGCCCGGGGCUGGAUUGUGCCGCAGAGCAGCAAUGAUACGCCAGGGGCACCUGCAUGGGAUCAGCCAUGAUUUGGCCCUUGAAAUACGAAUGUCACCUUUGUCUGGCUUGUCCUGGUCCGUCCAUCCACGAAUGCAAGUCGAUGCCACACCAUUCUAUUUUGUUGUGUAUGGCUGUCAGUUGCCUCCCCAGACGACACAAUGUCAGUGUUGCUGCAGGAGUUAUGUAAGGAAAAGAACUCAAAAAUGAAACCAGUGACACUAGAUAUUGCUCUGUGCUGGUGUGCAAAGGGGCUAUUAGUUCAUGCAUACCAGCAAACCUGAACAACCUGCAAGUCGGAUGGCAGCAGUAGAUGGGAUGUAGGUGAUCUCUCUCCCACAUCCUGCCCUCAGGCAAACAGCAGGGCAGGAUCCUUCUUCCCUUGUAUUCAUGACAGCACUAGAUAAAUUGCCUGUUUACUAGCCAGCUCCAUGUACUCCAAGGAUGUGUGGUCUGCCAGCUGGUGGUGGGAUG